ACUGUACUCCCUCUGUCCCAUAAUUCUUGUCGAAUUAUUACAUGUAUCUAGACGCUUUUUAGGAAUAGAUACAUCCAUUUUUGGGCAAAUUUGAAACCAAAAUUAUGGAACGGAGGGAGUACAAU
rnacentral:pre_miRNA from 1 species